CUGGACAAACGCUGGAUAUAGUAAUAUAUUUAGAGGAAAGUCCACACUCGCACUAUCUGUGAUGAUAGUAGUGUUUGUGCUUAAGGAAAAAAUAACUUAAGGCAGGAAACUGACGGCAUCUGUUUAAUCUAAAGAUUAUUCCAUGAUUAAAUAGAUAUAAAGUGCCACAGAGACGAGGCUAUUUAGAAAUAAAUAGAUUGAAACGAGGUAAACCCCACAAGCGAGAAACCCAAAUUAUGGUAGGGGAACUAUCUUUGGAGAAUUAGAAUCUAAAAGAUGGAUGAGGAAACUCAUAGAUAAAUGUUUGUCACCAAUUACGGUACAAAAUGUGGCUUAUAA
rnacentral:RNase_P_RNA from 1 species